rnacentral:rRNA from 1 species
AACGAACGCUAUCGGUAUGCUUAACACAUGCAAGUCGGACGGACUAAUUAGGGCUUGCUCCAAUUAGUUAGUGGCAGACGGGUGAGUAACACGUGGGAAUCUGCCCAUCAGUACGGAAUAACUUUUAGAAAUAAAAGCUAAUACCGUAUAUUCUCUACAGAGGAAAGAUUUAUCGCUGAUGGAUGAGCCCGCGUCAGAUUAGGUAGUUGGUGAGGUAACGGCUCACCGAGCCGACGAUCUGUAGCUGGUCUGAGAGGAUGAUCAGCCACACUGGGACUGAGACACGGCCCAGACUCCUACGGGAGGCAGCAGUGGGGAAUAUUGGACAAUGGGCGAAAGCCUGAUCCAGCAAUACCGAGUGAGUGAUAAAGGCCCUAGGGUUGUAAAGCUCUUUUAGCAAGGAAGAUAAUGACGUUACUUGCAGAAAAAGCCCCGGCUAACUCCGUG